GUAUAGAGGGUGAAUUCUGCCCAAUGGUUGUAUAGUGAAACUGAGGACUAACGUCUAAAGCGAAACCCAACUGAAUGGCCGCGGUAACUCUGACCGUGAUAAUGUAGCACAAUAAAUAGCCAAUUAAUUGUUGGCGGGUAUGAAUGGAACCACGAGGGUCUUACUGUCUCAAGAGAAAAGCCGAUGAAAUUAUAGUUGUAGUGAAGAUACUACAUAAACAUUGUAAGACGAAAAGACCCUAUCGAGCUUUACUGGAUACCGAUAGCGUUAACUUAAAAUGAUCGAUACUAAGUAUCCUAAUUUUGAGUUAAUAAUUUUUGUUGGUAGGACAGUUUAGUUGGGGCGACUACCUUUGAAUAAGAAACGAAGGCGAGCUUAUGGUAUAUAAAACUAAUCUCAUUAGCCUGACAGUGAGGGGGACACCCCUAGCUGGCACACCUUGGGGAUGUGGGCGAUAAUGACCCGAUAUUAUUGUCCAAAAUAAAUAUCGAAAGCGGAUAAAAGCUACCGUAGGGAUAACAGCGUAAUAUUGUCGGAGAGUUCUUAUCGAGGACAGUGUUUGCGACCUCGAUGUUGAAUUGCGGUGCCCUGGUGCUGUAGAAGGUACCUUAGGUUGGUC
rnacentral:rRNA from 1 species